UACAGAGGGGGCAAGCGUUGUUCGGAAUUACUGGGCGUAAAGGGCGCGUAGGCGGCCAACUCAGUCGGACGUGAAAUCCCCUGGCUCAACCAGGGAACUGCGUCCGAUACUGGCUGGCUUGAAUCCGGGAGAGGGAUGUGGAAUUCCAGGUGUAGCGGUGAAAUGCGUAGAUAUCUGGAGGAACACCGGUGGCGAAGGCGGCAUCCUGGACCGGUACUGACGCUGAGGCGCGAAAGCCAGGGGAGCAAACGGG
rnacentral:rRNA from 1 species